CCUACGGGUGACAGCAGUAGGGAAUAUUGCUCAAUGGGGGAAACCCUGAAGCAGCAACGCCGCGUGGAGGAUGAAGGUUUUCUGAUUGUAAACUCCUUUUGUUAGAGAAGAUAAUGACGGUAUCUAUAGAGUAAGCACCGGCUAACUCCGUGCCAGCAGCCGCGGUAAUAUGGAGGGUGCAAGCGUUACUCGGAAUCACUGGGCGUAAAGGGCGCGUAGGCGGGAUAGCAAGUCAGAUGUGAAAUCUUAUGGCUUAACCAUAGAACUGCAUUUGAAACUGUUAUUCUAGAGUAUGGUAGAGGUAGGUGGAAUUCUUGGUGUAGGGGUAAAAUCCUUAGAGAUCAAGAGGAAUACUCAUUGCGAAGGCGACCUGCUAGAACAUAACUGACGCUGAUGCGCGAAAGCGUGGGGAGCAAACAGGAUUAGAUACCCGGGUAGUC
rnacentral:rRNA from 1 species